rnacentral:rRNA from 1 species
CGGCAGCGACACUAUGUGUUGUUGGGUAGGGGAGCGUUCUGUAAGCCUGUGAAGGUGUGCUGUGAGGCAUGCUGGAGGUAUCAGAAGUGCGAAUGCUGACAUAAGUAACGAUAAAGCGGGUGAAAAGCCCGCUCGCCGGAAGACCAAGGGUUCCUGUCCAACGUUAAUCGGGGCAGGGUGAGUCGACCCCUAAGGCGAGGCCGAAAGGCGUAGUCGAUGGGAAACAGGUUAAUAUUCCUGUACUUGGUGUUACUGCGAAGGGGGGACGGAGAAGGCUAUGUUGGCCGGGCGACGGUUGUCCCGGUUUAAGCGUGUAGGCUGGUUUUCCAGGCAAAUCCGGAAAAUCAAGGCUGAGGCGUGAUGACGAGGCACUACGGUGCUGAAGCAACAAAUGCCCUGCUUCCAGGAAAAGCCUCUAAGCAUCAGGUAACAUUAAAUCGUACCCCAAACCGACACAGGUGGUCAGGUAGAGAAUACCAAGGCGCUUGAGAGAACUCGGGUGAAGGAACUAGGCAAAAUGGUGCCGUAACUUCGGGAGAAGGCACGCUGAUAUGUAGGUGAAGUCCCUCGCGGAUGGAGCUGAAAUCAGUCGAAGAUACCAGCUGGCUGCAACUGUUUAUUAAAAACACAGCACUGUGCAAACACGAAAGUGGACGUAUACGGUGUGACGCCUGCCCGGUGCCGGAAGGUUAAUUGAUGGGGUUAGCGGUAACGCGAAGCUCUUGAUCGAAGCCCCGGUAAACGGCGGCCGUAACUAUAACGGUCCUAAGGUAGCGAAAUUCCUUGUCGGGUAAGUUCCGACCUGCACGAAUGGCGUAAUGAUGGCCAGGCUGUCUCCACCCGAGACUCAGUGAAAUUGAACUCGCUGUGAAGAUGCAGUGUACCCGCGGCAAGACGGAAAGACCCCGUGAACCUUUACUAUAGCUUGACACUGAACAUUGAGCCUUGAUGUGUAGGAUAGGUGGGAGGCUUUGAAGUGUGGACGCCAGUCUGCAUGGAGCCGACCUUGAAAUACCACCCUUUAAUGUUUGAUGUUCUAACGUUGACCCGUAAUCCGGGUUGCGGACAGUGUCUGGUGGGUAGUUUGACUGGGGCGGUCUCCUCCUAAAGAGUAACGGAGGAGCACGAAGGUUGGCUAAUCCUGGUCGGACAUCAGGAGGUUAGUGCAAUGGCAUAAGCCAGCUUGACUGCGAGCGUGACGGCGCGAGCAGGUGCGAAAGCAGGUCAUAGUGAUCCGGUGGUUCUGAAUGGAAGGGCCAUCGCUCAACGGAUAAAAGGUACUCCGGGGAUAACAGGCUGAUACCGCCCAAGAGUUCAUAUCGACGGCGGUGUUUGGCACCUCGAUGUCGGCUCAUCACAUCCUGGGGCUGAAGUAGGUCCCAAGGGUAUGGCUGUUCGCCAUUUAAAGUGGUACGCGAGCUGGGUUUAGAACGUCGUGAGACAGUUCGGUCCCUAUCUGCCGUGGGCGCUGGAGAACUGAGGGGGGCUGCUCCUAGUACGAGAGGACCGGAGUGGACGCAUCACUGGUGUUCGGGUUGUCAUGCCAAUGGCACUGCCCGGUAGCUAAAUGCGGAAGAGAUAAGUGCUGAAAGCAUCUAAGCACGAAACUUGCCCCGAGAUGAGUUCUCCCUGACUCCUUGAGAGUCCUGAAGGAACGUUGAAGACGACGACGUUGAUAGGCCGGGUGUGUAAGCGCAGCGAUGCG